rnacentral:lncRNA from 1 species
UUGGGUGGAAGCGAUAGCUGAGUGGCGGCGGCUGCUGAUUGUGUUCUAGGGGACGGAGUAGGGGAAGACGUUUGCUCUCCCGGAACAGCCUAUCUCAUUCCUUUCUUUCGAUUACCCGUGGCGCGGAGAGUCAGGGCGGCGGCUGCGGCAGCAAGGGCGGCGGUGGCGGCGGCGGCAGCUGCAGUGACAUGUCCAGCAUGAAUCCCGAAUAUGAUUAUUUAUUCAAGUUACUUCUGAUUGGCGACUCAGGGGUUGGAAAGUCUUGCCUUCUUCUUAGGUUUGCAGUAAGUUGAAAUUGAAAUGUCUUUACAAUUAAUGGUACAAUUAAUGCUAUGUAUGUUUUCUAGGUAGAUAAAAUUAAACAGUUUUAUUCAGAAUAAGUUAAUUCUUCCAGAAUUUAUAUAUUUAAAGACUCCAAAUAUACAUCCCCAGUGGUAUCUUGGACUGUUAAAUAGAAAAAUAUUGUUGCUCUUAAAAGAAAUUCAGUGAAGUAUGGUUAUAAAGUCAGAAUGUCUAAUACUUUUGGUCAGAGUCAAACAGCAGUUCCAAUAUAGGCAGCAAGUUAAAGGGGUAGUUGGUGGCCUGUGUUGAAAGCGACUUGAUGAAAAUAAAUCUUUAAAUUAAACUUUAGUAG